CCUACGGGAGGCAGCAGUGGGGAAUAUUGCGCAAUGGGCGAAAGCCUGACGCAGCGACGCCGCGUGAGGGAUGAAGGUCUUCGGAUCGUAAACCUCUGUCAGCAGGGAAGAACGGUCACUGUGCUAAUCAGCAGUGAAUUGACGGUACCUGCAAAGGAAGCACCGGCUAACUCCGUGCCAGCAGCCGCGGUAAUACGGAGGGUGCGAGCGUUAAUCGGAGUUACUGGGCGUAAAGCGCUCGUAGGCGGUACGUCAAGUCAAGGGUGAAAUCCCCGGGCUCAACGUGGGAACUGCCUUUGAAACUGGCAAACUGGAGUGUGUGAGAGGAUAGUGGAAUGCCAGGUGUAGGAGUGAAAUGCGUAGAUAUCUGGAGGAACAUCAGUGGCGAAGGCGACUAUCUGGCACAUAACUGACGCUGAGGAGCGAAAGCGUGGGUAGCAAACAGGAUUAGAUACCCCUGUAGUC
rnacentral:rRNA from 1 species